CUGAGGCGCAGUUUACACCCGCAGCCGGAUGCUUUGCACUCAGUCAGAGUUUAAGGCCCACAGAGCACAUGGCUCAGGAGGCCAUCACUGCUGACCUAAAUAAAGGAGCUUCCACUACCCAACAGAAGCCACACAAGGGACUGUGGAAAUCUCCCAAGCAGAAGGCUGACUUCCCAAGUGCUGGCGUACAAAGGUGAGCAUUCAUUUCAAUAAUGUGUAGUAUACCUGAUCGCCACUAGAUGGCGAUGCGGGCACUUCACCAGAGUCGGAGGAAAGCUGCUGGCACCCAGAAGUAGGGCAAUAGGAACUAGGUAUCUUUCCCCGCUACUUCUGUAAGACAGAUUUCCCAGGCUCCAAAACCAGGAGCAGAACCCUUCUGAGUGAAGAGUCCACUGAUGACGCAGCUUGCAGGUUGACGAGGAAGGGAACUGUAGAGGACAAGCCUUACUUCUUAUUACUGGCAACGACUCUUAGACUUGGCUGUACAGUCUACUUGUGAAUCACAACAGAGUGGGCCUAAAUAGAGCAACUAGUAUUCUGCCUCAUUAUUUACCAAGGAAUUUGACCAAAAGCCACAAACAGUGGUAGACUACUUUGAGAAUUCACUGUGGCCACUUAGCCUGAGGAUGCACACUCUCAAGUUGUUUUUCUACCUGAUGGUCCAAGUGCGCACACUUCCUGUCCAUCCCACAGAUCGAGGGACAAUGGAGUAAAAGCAGCAUGCUGGCAUGGGAGUUUCCCCAUCAAAACACCACUUAGUUCCAAUUUGUAUUGCUUUAUUACUAAGUGUGUCUUAUGUCUGCUUGCUGAACUUUGAGCUGAGGACAUGAAGCUAUACAUUUCUGAGAAACACUUGAUUAGAGGAAGUUCAUAUAAUAAUAUUUUGGUUGUCCUUGAGAUAAUUUUGCUCGUUUGCUUUGAGUCCCCAUAUCCAAUGACAAUGGCACUUUCUGUUCUAGUAACCAUAGAGAUGUGUAAUGCCCUCAACAGCUUGUCUGAAAACCAGUCUUUGCUGAGGAUGCCCCCCUGGGAGAAUAUCUGGCUCGUGGGCUCCAUCUGCUUGUCCAUGUCACUUCACUUCUUGAUCCUCUACGUGGUACCUUUGCCACUCAUUUUCCAGAUCACACCGCUGAAUCUGACCCAGUGGCUGAUGGUGCUGAAAAUCUCCUUGCCUGUGAUCCUCAUGGAUGAGACGCUCAAGUUUGUGGCCCCAAACUACCU